CAGAGGGGGGAGGGAGAGAGCAAGAAAGAAAAUCAGGGAGCCGAAGGCUGAGUUGUCCUACUUCGAAGUCCUUCUCAGGAAGGCGAAAAGCUUCCUGGCAAACAGUCUGACGGCGCGCUGUGCUGGGGACCUGGCUAAGGGACAUUCGGCCUCCACAUAGUAGUCUGCAGUGGCCCCCGGAGCAGGACACUGGAGCCUGAGCGGUGGGUCCGGUCUAGGUUUCCCUCCGCUCCCCGGCGCUGCAACCCUGGGGCCGAGUGCUCGCCCUGCCUUCAGGUCCCUGCGCCCUUUCACCGCUCCACCUCCACCCUUCACCCCGAUACGUUUUGCCUCAGCGGCCUCUAGGUCACCCUCAGAAGCCAGCUCCGAGCCCACCGAAGCCCACGGCACGGAGCUCUGGAGCAGGCAGGGUCGUUGCGAGGAGGUGGCGGCUGCGAGAAGGGCCGGUGCCCGCCGCCCAGGAACAGGCGGCCG
rnacentral:lncRNA from 1 species